rnacentral:lncRNA from 1 species
GAGGAUCUCGGGCUCCCCCACCCCGCCACGAGAUCAUCACCAGGAGGAGGCGAUUUCCUCCAUCACGUUCUCCGCACCACGGUGCUCUGCCCUGUCACAAGCCCAAAAGCAAAGGGUGCAAGUGACUGUGGCUGACCGCUCCUAAACAGUAAGCCGAAGGAGCUAUCCCGCCUCAUAAACUGAUUUAUCUCAGGCCUUUCGUCACAAGAACAGAGAACUGACUAACACACUUUAGGGAACAAAGAGUGAACAGUUUUAUAGAUACUAGUGGGGAGGAGAGAAAUUUAGGACUUUUGGUCAGCAGAGAAACUCCUGAUUGUCAGAAUGUGGAGAGAGGGAGAGAAGGAGAGCCAGAGAGAGAGAAAGGAAGGGGCCGAGAGAUGAAGAAAAAAGAGUGGAUUCAAAGAGGGCCUUUGAAAUGCUCUGUGGCUGAGGCUGUGGAGAGGAACAAGCCACGUGCAAUGCGCCCACAGAACAGAAGAAUGCUGCGUAACAGGGCGAGACAGCCAAGGCCUUCUGUAGCCUGGCCGCGGGUGCUGGCUCUUCAGGAAAGGCGCUCGCUCGCGGUGAUAGCGCCUGGAGAAACUUCUGGGCACAGCUCGUCCAGCUGGAGAGGAGAGGAAGCCCCAAACCCGGCCAGCUAUAUGGAAGAGAACACUGGAUCCGGCUGUGCUUGACUGGUCUUACUGCUCACUGCAGAUCUUAAGUGCUUAGUGUAGAAAGGUAAGGAAUAGAAAAGAUCUAUAAAGUCAUACAUA